AGUGAACGCUGGCGGUAGGCCUAACACAUGCAAGUCGAACGGCAGCACAGGAGAGCUUGCUCUCUGGGUGGCGAGUGGCGGACGGGUGAGGAAUACAUCGGAAUCUACUUUUUCGGGGGGGAUAACGUAGGGAAACUUACGCUAAUACCGCAUACGACCUACGGGUGAAAGCAGGGGAGCUUCGGACCUUGCGCGAUUGAAUGAGCCGAUGUCGGAUUAGCUAGUGGGCGGGGUAAAGGCCCACCAAGGCGACGAUCCGUAGCUGGUCUGAGAGGAUGAUCAGCCACACUGGAACUGAGACACGGUCCAGACUCCUACGGGAGGCAGCAGUGGGGAAUAUUGGACAAUGGGCGCAAGCCUGAUCCAGCCAUACCGCGUGGGUGAAGAAGGCCUUCGGGUUGUAAAGCCCUUUUGUUGGGAAAGAAAUCCAGCUGGUUAAUACCCGGUUGGGAUGACGGUACCCAAAGAAUAAGCACCGGCUAACUUCGUGCCAGCCGCCGCAGUAA
rnacentral:rRNA from 1 species